CUAUGCGCCUUGCCAGCCCGCUCAGGUGUGCCAGCCGCGCGGUAAUACGGAGGAUGCGAGCGUUAUCCGGAUUUAUGGGUUUAAAGGGUGCGUAGGCGAUCCGUUAAGUCAGCGGUAAAAUUGCGGGGCUCAACCCCGUCGAGCCGUUGAAACUGUCAGACUUGAGUUGGCGAGAAGUACGCGGAAUGCGCGGUGUAGCGGUGAAAUGCAUAGAUAUCGCGCAGAACUCCGAUUGCGAAGGCAGCGUACCGGCGCCACACUGACGCUGAGGCACGAAAGCGUGGGGGAUCGAACAGG
rnacentral:rRNA from 1 species